GAUGAACGCUGGCGGUGUGCCUAAUACAUGCAAGUCGAGCGAACAGACGAGGAGCUUACUCCUCUGACGUUAGCGGCGGACGGGUGAGUAACACGUGGAUAACCUACCUAUAAUACGGGGAUAAUUACGGAAAACAGGAGCUAAUACUAGCUAAUAUGAUGAACGGGUGGAAUCAACGGUGAUUCAGGGUCUUGCUGUCACUAUGAGAUGGUGCCGCGUCGCAUUAGCUAGUUGGUAAGGUACCGGCUUACCAAGGCAACGAAGCGUAGCCGACCUGAGAGGAUGAUCGGCCACACUGGAACUGAGACACGGUCCAGACUCCUACGGGAGGCAGCAGUAGGGAAUCUUCCGCAAUGGGCGAAAGCCUGACGGAGCAACGCCGCGUGAGUGAAGAAGGUCUUCGGAUCGUAAAGCUCUGUUGUUAGGGAAGAACAAAUGUGGAAGUAACUAUGCACGUCUUGACGGUACCUAAUCAGAAAGCAACGGCUAACUACGUG
rnacentral:rRNA from 1 species